CCCGCUGAACUUAAGCAUAUCAAUAAGCGGAGGAAAAGAAACCAACCGGGAUUGCCUCAGUAACGGCGAGUGAAGCGGCAAGAGCUCAAAUUUGAAAUCUGGUGCCUUCGGUACCCGAGUUGUAAUUUGAAGAGGAUGCCUCGGUUGCAGCCACGGCCCAAGUUCCUUGGAACAGGACGUCGCAGAGGGUGAGAAUCCCGUUCAGCGGCUGCCGGCUUGCUUCCAUGUGUGGCUCCUUCGAAGAGUCGAGUUGUUUGGGAAUGCAGCUCAAAAUGGGUGGUAAAUUCCAUCUAAAGCUAAAUACUGGCGAGAGACCGAUAGCGCACAAGUAGAGUGAUCGAAAGAUGAAAAGCACUUUGAAAAGAGAGUUAAACAGUACGUGAAAUUGUUGAAAGGGAAGCGCUUGCAAUCAGACUCACCUGCGGUUGAUCAACGUUCCUUCUGGUUCGUGCACUCUGCCGUUUGUGGGCCAGCAUCGGUCGGUGCGGCGGGACAAAGGCGUUGGGAAUGUGGCUCUCUUCGGGGAGUGUUAUAGCCCAUCGUGUAAUGCCGCCAGCUGCCGGCCGAGGUCCGCGAUUUGUCUAGGAUGCUGGCUUAAUGGUUGUAAGCGACCCGUCUUGAAACACGG
rnacentral:rRNA from 1 species